AGAGAGAGAGAGAGAGAGAGAGAGACAGAGAGAGAGAGAGAGAGCAAUAGGUUUAGAACACAGAAAUGGGAUUUAGAAUUGUGUAUGGGGUGCUGUUUCUGUCGUUCUCGUGCGCCUGCAUCAAGCUCAUCCACCUUAUGCUCCACCCAGUAUUCUACUACACCACCUGAGGACUGAUGGGAAGCUAAGCCUCCACCAGGUCAAAUGCUGACCAAAAACAAGAACAAAAAAUUUGGGUUAGCUAGCCACAAAAUAGUCAUGGGAAUAAAUUUUCAACAAUGUUUUUAUGAUGUGGUGGCUAUCUGGAAUGUUUACGAUGGUGGUGGGUGGGUCAUGAAGCUUUUCUUUGUUGGGCUAGCAAUAGCAUUCAGGAGUCAUGAUGAGCCAUGACGUUGGUGUUGCUUGGAGGAUUGGACUCAGAAAAAAGAAAAUAAAUAUCAGAUUCCUGAAUUGAAAUUUUCAAAGUUGAAUAAAAGCUGAUUGGUUGAAUUUUAAAAUUGUAUGUUAACUUAUUCUUGAUCAUAUCCAUUGUUUAUAUCACUGGUCUUGACUAUAAUCA